GAGCCACUGCGCCCGGUCAACUGUUGUUAAUUUCUUACUGUGUUGAAUUUAUAAAUUAAACUUUAUCACAGGUAUGUCUGUAUACAAAAAACCCCCAUAGUUUAUAUAGAGUUAAGCACAAUCUGCAGUUUCAGGCACCCACCGAGGGUCUUGGAACAUAUCUCCUGUGGAAAAAGGAGGAAUAGUGUAUGUAUAUUUUAUGUGUUAAGCAUCUGGAGAAUACAAAGAGAAAUGAGAUGCAUCCUUGCAUCUGCUUUAGAAAUAAGUCAAAUACUAUCAAUAGUAGACUUUGAUACAGAAAGGGUCCAAAAAUGACUUUCAGGAAGAUGUGGGCCUUCCAGGUCUCAUUUAAGGGAGAGCAUGGCUCCAGCAGAGAGUCCACCAUAUUGGGAACAAUGUUACUGCCACACUCUAUGGCAUCCUGAACUUGAGCUGAAGCGAGUUUCAUUUCCCCAUUGUAUCUGAUUCUUAGAAAAGUGAAAGCAGUAUAGUGGGGAGCUCAGUUUGAAAGGCAAAAGAACUGUGUUUCUCUUUUAGAAUUUCAACAUGUAUAGGUCAGGACAGUGCCACAGGUGUGUUCACAAGAGGGACAGGGUGUUGCACAAACUGUGUGGAUGAACACGCUUCUCCCUGUAGGAAGGCAGCUGCUGGAGCUCUGGAGGUAACCUGGGCAUGAGACACUCAGAAGUCAAGGAACCAAGCACCCAGGCAACCCAGCCAGCCUGCGGACAAGGAGAAGCCACGGCAGGAUAUUCUGGCCUGGGUGACAAACAAGCCCACAGAACCUAAGAGAAGCCAUCUGGGAGGUGUUACCAGGUGUUUGGAAACUCAGAGGAAGGAGACUAUUAAUGUCCAUCAACGUGCAUCAGUGGAGGCUUCCUAGCUGCAGUAGACUCUUGAAGGACUGUGGCAGGUGGGUGGUAAUUGAUGGGGAGGAGUUUAUGGACAGAGCAGACUCAUGCAAAGGCAUCCGUAUCAAGGAAAAUGUCUGUGGUUCAGAGUGGCAGGAACAGGAUGGCAGCUGGAGAGGGGAGAGGAUGGGUGGUCAGGGAGGGGAUGAAGGAGAUGGCAGGAAAUGAAGAAAUGAGGCUGGGUAAGUCGAUCAUUUGUUAGCGUCUCAAAUGCAAAAGGACAGCCCAUGAUGAGCCAUGCUCUGUGCUAGGCACCAGGGAUACACAAUGUCCAAGAAAGACAAGGCUUGUGUCUCCACGGAACAGACACUCUAAUGUGAGACUAUGGGGGGAGGGCCUUGCAUAUCACGCUGGGUGGUAUGGGGAUAUAUUGUUGUGAACUGUAUUUGCCACAGAUGAUCACAGCAACAUCUCUGAUCCCACAUGCAAGGUGACCUUGCCAUCCUCCCACUGACAGGAAGGAUGCACCUUCCUCUCGAAUCUGGAGGGCUCAUGACUGCUUUGACCAAUACAGUAUGGCAGAAGGGACAGUCUCCGCCUUCCAAGGCUAGAUGAUAAAAGGUGAGGCAGCUUCUGCAUUGUUCACUGUACCCUUUGCCCUUGAGCCCUGAGCUCCAUGUAAGAAGUUUGCCAAUCCCCAGGAAGCCAAGCCAUGUGGAGAGGCUGCAGUCAUCUUAACCUUCAAGUCAUCCCAGCCCAGGAGUGAGACGUGGGAGUGAACAAACUUUGGAGUAACUCUAGCCUUCAGCUAUCAAGUCAAUGCUAGCCCUGGUGUUUUGCAAGCCGAGGCUCCAGACAUGGCAGACCAGACACAUGCCAUCUCUGCCGUAUCUUGUUCCAAUUCCUGGUGCAGAGACCCCGUGAACAUAAUGACAUGGUAGUUUCAAGAAGCUAAAUUACAGAGUAAUUUGUUUUACAGAAACAGUAACUAAAACAGAGUUUACUGAACAGGCAGUGAAGAGCCACUGAGGAAUGUAAGCAGAAAAUAUAAUCAGAUUUGUGCUCUAGGAAGAGCUCUCUCA